rnacentral:rRNA from 1 species
GGGGAAUACGACCGCAAGGUUGAAUCUCAAAGGAAUUGACGGGGACCCGCACAAGCGGUGGAGCAUGUGGUUUAAUUGGAAGCAACGCGAAGAACCAUACCAAAUCUUGACAUCCUUUGACCCCUCUAGAGAUAGAGUUUUCCCCCUCGGGGGACAGAGUGACAGGUGGUGCAUGGUUGUCGUCAGCUCGUGUCGUGAGAUGUUGGGUUAAGUCCCGCAACGAGCGCAACCCUUAAGCUUAGUUGCCAUCAUUAAGUUGGGCACUCUAAGUUGACUGCCGGUGACAAACCGGAGGAAGGUGGGGAUGACGUCAAAUCAUCAUGCCCCUUAUGAUUUGGGCUACACACGUGCUACAAUGGACAAUACAAAGGGUAGCGAAACCGCGAGGUCAAGCAAAUCCCAUAAAGUUGUUCUCAGUUCGGAUUGUAGUCUGCAACUCGACUAUAUUAAGCUGGAAUCGCUAGUAAUCGUAGAUCAGCAUGCUACGGUGAAUACGUUCCCGGGUCUUGUACACACCGCCCGUCACACCACGAGAGUUUGUAACACCCGAAGCCGGUGGAGUAACCAUUUGGAGCUAGCC